GCUUUGGUAGAGUCCGAAAGCUGGACUCAUUAAAAAAACUGUUUCCUAGGAAAGACAGACACUCAGUUGGAAUGUGGAAAGAUUUCUGAGAGUCGAAUGACAAGGUCUGAGCAGAGGUAUAUAGGAAGAUUUUGACUUUUGGUAUUUAGAGCCAUCCUUCUGUAUCCACAGCAGGUUGGUUCUAGGGGCGCCCUCCCCCUUCUAGCCCCACCCCCCAUGGAGAACCUGAGGGUGCGCAGAUCACUCAUGUAGAAUGGAAUAUUUGCUGCACGUCCUCCCAUGUGCUUUUUUUUCUUUUGUUUUGUUUUGUUUUUCCAGGGCCGCACCUGUGGCAUACGGAGGUUCCCAGGCUAGGGGGCUCAUCGGAGCUGUAGCUGCUGGCUUACACCACAGCCUCAGCAAUGCCGGAUCCUUAACCCACUGAGGGAGGCAGGGAUCGAACCCACAACUUCAUGGUUCCUAGUCGGAUUCGUUUCUGCUGCGCCACAGCGGGAGCUCCACGUCCUCCCAUGUACUCUGAAUCGCCUCUGGGUUUCUUAGGAUACGUGAUGCAGAGUAAAUGCCAUAUGAAGAACCUACGGAUAAGGAAGAGUGACUGAAUAUGCAGUCACCACUUAGAAAAUAUAAGAAAGAAGAGAUCUCAUGCAUAAUGAUAAUCCAAAAAUACAGUAUUGUUAAGGACAAAUACGUGAAGAAAACCGCAGAAUCUUCCUGAGAUUUGACUACAUGGAGCCAUCAUCUUGUAUAGAAAUACCAUUUUCCAGGCUUAAAAGUUACAGAAUAAAUGAUACAGGAAAUGAUGACCAGAUUUAUUUAAAUAAAAAAUUUAAACUUGAAA